GAGCUGGACAGGCUCCUCAGGGACGAAUAUAGGAGCCUGGAUGAUUUUAGGGCCAAGGAAAAGGCAGCUGCAGCGACAAAAGAGUGUCUUGGCGGUGGAAGUAGUGGCGGCGGCGGCAGUAGUGUCAAUGGUGGCGGCUUUUAUUACAGAGAGCGAUUAGCUAACUAAAGCUUGCAGCUUUGGGUGGAAGCUCUGUGCUGGCAACUCAUCCCUUGAGUCUUGAGCAGGUUCUGUUCAGA
rnacentral:misc_RNA from 1 species